CAAGGACGAAAGUCGGGCUUAGUGAUCCGGUGGUUCCGAGUGGAAGGGCCAUCGCUCAACGGAUAAAAGCUACCCUGGGGAUAACAGGCUUAUCUCCCCCAAGAGUCCACAUCGACGGGGAGGUUUGGCACCUCGAUGUCGGCUCAUCACAUCCUGGGGCUGUAGUAGGUCCCAAGGGUUGGGCUGUUCGCCCAUUAAAGUGGUACGCGAGCUGGGUUCAGAACGUCGUGAGACAGUUCGGUCCCUAUCCGUCGCAGGCGUAGGAAAUUUGAGAGGAGCUGUCCUUAGUACGAGAGGACCGGGAUGGACAUACCUCUGGUGCACCAGUUGUCACGCCAGUGGCAUAGCUGGGUAGCUAUGUAUGGAAUGGAUAAGCGCUGAAAGCAUCUAAGCGCGAAGCCAACCUCAAGAUAAGAUUUCCCACCGUAAGGGUAAGACCCCAGAAAGACUACCUGGUUGAUAGGUCCAAGGUGUAAGCUCAGUAAUGAGUUCAGCUUAUGGAUACUAAUAGGUCGAGGACUUGACCU
rnacentral:rRNA from 1 species